CCCCUGGGAGCUCUGGAGGGUCUGGUUGGUUGAUACUGUUCUUCCUAUGGGGUUGCAAAGUUCUUUCUUAAUGAGGUGGAGUGAUGUUGAGUGAGAAAGAUGGAUACAUUCAGAUUGUGAUUGUAUCUCAGCUAUUUCCUAUCCUGUGCAUGUUACAGCUUACUACACAACGCUUCAUUACAUCUUAGGGGCUGGAGAGGACUGACGCAAUGCGGGGACUCAGCACGGCUAACUAGGAAUGGCAGAGCAAGUAGCUCUGAAGCACUAAACCAGAGAAGGGGGAGGGGGCGGGAUGUAAGGCAUCCAAGGCACACCACCAAUGUCUCUCCUCCAGACUGAGAUAACCACAGGCCUUUUACCUAAUGUACUGUCAGAAGGGGAACCAAUGCAGGCUCAGGUUUUCUGGUCUGUAUUUGGUAAAUGAAGAAACUUAGAUUGGAUAGGUCUUUACAACAUGGGUCACAAGGCCCGCCAAGGACAAGAGACAGGCCUCAGUGGCAGGCCAGGCCUCUAUGCGCCUGCACUCUGUUACACCGAUCCAGAGGAAGCUAUAGCAGGUAACAAGCUCACUCUGGAUAUACUGCACUCGUUCACUGAGAGGAACUGUCAUUUUUUGCUGACAGUGUGGCUAAAUGAGCAAUUAAACAAAGUCUGAAUUUGUAGAGUUUCUCUCCAGUCUGGAAAGUUUGUUGUUAUUUAUCUAUUUAUACAAAUAAGCCAUCGAAUUAUGCAAAACUGAAUCUGAGAGAAAAGUUCGCGAAUAUUCUGUCAAUGAUUUUUCUGUCUCUAUCCUGUCUUGAAACAAAAGAACAAACCGUAUGUAUAAACCCAGACUCCUCCCAUUCGUAGCUCUUUCCUGCCUCAGCCUUGCAGGUCCUGAGACAGCAGGAGUGCACCACAGUAAUUGGCUCCUCCGUCAGAUUCGUAGUCAAGAAGACUCCAGACCCAGGAAGAGCUCCGUCGGCCUCCCCAGGCCCUUCUGCUUCCUGGGGAACAUGCCCAGGACACAGCGGCAGGCAUCCUGAAGGGACGGUUACAACAAAGGGUUUCUACUAAAACGGUACAAGUUGAGUCUUAGAAUAGACAAACAGGGUCUUUACAGAUGACCCAGUGGUUAAGAACACUGGCCAUUCUUUUUAAUGUCCCAUGUUCUAUUGCCAGCAUACAAAUGGCAGCUUACAAACAUUUGUAUAUCUAGUCCAAAAAUACUCAACAACCUCUCCUGGCCUCAAAACAAAGGCACACACAUGGUACAGAGACAUAUCUAUAGGCACAUCUUCCAUAGAUAUAAUAAUUUUUUUAAAGGGUUGAACUGAGGGUCACACAACACUAUGAACAAGCAAAUGUCAAACGAACUUCUUUGGGGAAUAGCUGAGAUCACGUCUCACUGUCUUGUGCUACAGAUUUUAGAGGGUAUCUUUUUUUACCAUAGAUGGAAAAUAAUUUUUACAAAUCAUUACCAAGCACUCAAAUUUUACCAAGCAAAAGGAGUGACGUGGAUGGUGGUACAGGCAGUUGAAGUACGGUGCUGCACACUCAGUUAUGAGUAGAAAAAGGAGAAGAUAAGCAUCACAUCUGGCAGUGCAUUGGCUCCCUUAGGCUGGACAGCAGCAUUCCUAACCCUCAUUCCCUGGGCUCAGUGAUACCUCCACACCGAGUCAUUCACUUCCUCGUCGCACUCCUAUCCAGUAUGAAGACUAAGUGGAGAUGCACAUCCAGAGAGCUUUAUCUACUUAGUCAGAAGACCAGCAUCUUCAGUGUCUGUUCUUCGCAACAGACAUUGCCUAUAUUCUGUCACCUUACAGAAAAAGUCAUGGGAAACUGUCAGGCUUUUGGGUGACGGACACCUUGUCUUGCUUGGCCAUGUAAGCUCUCUGUAUCAGUGGCCAGUACAGGUGUGAUUCUCUUCACUAUGUCAUCAGCUUGAAUUAAGACACUUAGAAAGCUCCCUCUCGUACUCCAUUAGGCUUUUCCACACAUAGGUAACUAAAACAUUUGCGAUUUUUAUAUCUGGGUGACUUAAUAAUCUGCCAGUAACGUCUUGGCAUCUGCAGCCUUCUCGGCAUUGUGGUACACCUAUGACAUGAAAUGAUGACCUAUGGCUGAAUAUAGAGAAUAUCUGUCUGUCCAGGCUGCGGACACAGCAUAUGACACAUGACAGGAAGACAAUGGCCAGGUCCCCACAUACUGGUAGGUACUGUGGGAAAUGUGCAGUGCUGGACUUAGGGGCUGGAGUUAGGGGAUUCGACUCUGACACUGUAUUCUCCAGAGACCAGUUAUCACCGUGUAGAGACAACCGCAAUGCCGAGCACUGUAAAGAUGGCUGGGCUCACAGAUACAAACCCUCUGUAGCUUUACCUAUGUGUGAAGACUGGAACGCGCAUCUUUCAAAUCGGAUCUCCCUCCAGGCGCGCAGAAUACCUUCUGAUAAAUCUCAAACAACACACACACACACACACACACACACACACACACACACACACACACACAAACAGAGUGCAUCUCUCGAUGUACAGCACACUGAUUCCUGACUCAAGUUUGACAUCUGAGAAAAAAAAAACUGACUUCUGUGCAGCACCUCUCACACGGGCUAAUACUCAAUGCCUAACAGGUGAAUUCUGAAAAUCACACGUACAAACGAAUGUCACCUAAAUGUGUGACAUAUGAAGAGGUAUGUAAACAUUCAGGUUUGACGUGGGAGGAUGGAAGGGGGUCUUUCUUAUUACAGUCUUUACGAGCUUCCAACCCCUCUGUCACCCCUGGUUAAACACGGGUUUUUCAUGCUAGAGGAAGACAAAGGGGAAGGAAUGGGGUGCCUAAGUUGUUUUCACAGAUACGAUGAAGAAAGGAUCAGCACUAACGGCCAAAGGUCAGGCAAGACCAUUAAACGAUGACAGGACUUAACAUCGCUGUGGGCAGAACUGGAGUCAGCGGCAUCAGAUAAACGUCUGUGACUUUAAUGAGAGCAUGAAUUGACAUCUAGAGAAAAUGAUAGCAUAAUUCUUACUUAAUGGUUUGUCAGCAAUCAUAUGAAAAUAUGAGAUGUAUGGAACUGAAACAGCAUAUUUACAUCUGGUUUCCUAUAUAAAGAAAGCUAAUACGAACUCCUAGACUGCAUGGCUCUUCUCGAUCCAUCAUAAGAGACUAGAAGAAAAUCCUAGAAGGAAAUGCUAUGUGGCUACUUUAUAAGUAGCAGAAGGAUCAUUUAUUUAUGAUAACAUUUAGUAAGUGCUUACUAAGUACAGGCACUAUUAAAAGAAUUUUAAAUAUAAUGCCUAACCUUCACAAUAAGCAGGAACUUAUCCCCCUUUCCUACAGCAGAGGUCCAGAGAAGUUCACUCACUAGUCAAUUAACCACAUAGUUAGCAUUCCCCAAAGAGUGAACAGCUACUAUUUAUCCCGCACUGUACCAGGAGAAAAGAAAGGCAGGGAAAGGUAAGAAGACAUUUAUUACUCAGGAAAAAAAUUCGCACAGUGAUGUACCCAAAGAAUCUGCUACUGAAGAAUAUAAAUUAUAAGACAAAGGGGAAAAUAAAAAUCCUACAGAAGCACUCAUUAAACUGUAUUUCUGUGUUUAAAUGAAUGAAUUUCUAGAUGAAAUGGGGGCUGAACAAAGUACAGAAUUAAAAUGACUAAGCCUAUUCUACCCAGCCUUUAUCCACAGCAGUUGAGGCUGGACUCCUGUAGGAUGAGCCCAUAGUCUGAAAACCUUAGACAUAUAGUUAACUGUGUAAUAAAAGUCACAGUCACAUGAGUGGAAGCUUCCUGAGAGCAGGUCCCACGCUUAUGAGGAGAACAGUGCUAGAACUCGGCAACACCAAGACACAUGGGGAGAAUCUAUGUGUGAAUGGCCCAGUCCAGUCAUUGAAAGUGAGCAGAGGUGUGGCCGUGGGACUCUAAGCUGGCACACACUUUGUCUCCACUGAAGUUCUGGCCUCUGGACGCUAACUGCUACAGCCCCUGCCCAGAGCUGUAACUUUUCAAGGAUGUGUUCCUGGAAUGUUUGCUCGAAAUCAGGUCAGAGGUCUUCCACCAGAGAGAGACCAUGCCACUGAUCUAGCUGGGCAAGGAUUUCAAGAACACUAAGAAGCAAAACAUGAACUUUUGUACAUUCCCCACUGUCACAGGAAGCAGAGUCGACCACAGAUACUGUAUUUUCUAGAACUUUCUUAAGAACCAUUUGCAGAAGUAGUUGAUGUUGUGCAUGGGGACUGGACUGUUUGUGAGACUGAGGAAGCAAAGGACGGCUAAUUUCCUGGGGUGAGUCACGGCUGUAACCCCCUUUUACUGUAUUAAUAGAACGGAGGGGGGAAUUUUCCAGGAAACAUGUAUUACCACAAAGACCAAAAUAGAAAAGGGUGGCGGGUGACUUAAUCACUAAACAGAGAGGACUGGUCCCCUAUCUUUAUCAGAAUAAGAAAACAAUAAAUCAAACCAACACAUUCUGAAAUGUGUUAACAUCUUCACAGUUCUGUUUUAAUACCAUACAAGAUUUUGUAUUAGCAAAAACUCCAUGAAAACUCUAGGCUGAUUACAGAUGAUCAAACUCUCUGAAGAGUUAAAUAGACCUUCUCGAACUACUCCAAGGUUCAUUCCUUGCUUGGAGCCUAAAAUUAACAAUGUAUACCAGCUGUGUGCCAGAAUCCUGGUCUUCAAGAACCAAAUAGCUGACAAGGAAGUCGCAGCUCUAAUGAAGCCUGAUCUCCACUGCCUGCCGCAGCAGUUCUUUUCAUCUUGCUUCUGGGGGAUUCCAAAAUGACAGCCCAAACACUAGCUCUGAUGGCAGCCUCAGGACCCUAACUAUGGUGAGUCCGAGAAACAUCAACACCUAGAAGCCUCCGCUCUGGCUCCUGCCUUUCCUUGUCUCCUAUCUGGAAGGAAGCACUGUGGCCAUGAUAAAGGUAGGUCAGCAUCAGGAGAAAGGCAGUAACAAAAUGAUUUCUUAAAAUCAAUGUGAGAACUGAGAGAGAAGAGGAUAUGGAGUGGUGUCUAGAACAUAGUUAAUACUCAAAAGUCGUUAUUGUAGGUCUCGUGGCUAUUACUAAAGCAGUGAUAGGAAGAAGGGGAGUCUCGGUUUGUCACAGUUGUAAAGACAUGCAUGUCAGCCAAUCUUUGCCUAUUGGCUCACUUAAGGACCCGUCACACACCACAACGAAACGAUGUGAGACACAAAACCACCAAUGCUGCGGUUUCCCUUUAUUUAUGCAGGGUGGGAUUUGAACUCAAACCUUAUACUUGCUUGGCAAACAGUCUACCACUGGGUUAUAUACUCCCAGCACGACACAGGAUGUUAUAUCAGAAACUGUCAGUAGACCACACCUGAACUCAUGGGUUCCUUGAUUGAGAUCAGUGGGUAUGGCUAAGAGAAAAAAUCUGUGCUACCAUGUUUAGCUCCCCAGACACAUAAAACCUUCUGAUCUAAUUAGUUCCCAGCAUCCUACCGGAGCUGCCCUCCAUUACAGAGCAGUGGUUCAGGGAAGCAGGGAGUAAACCUCUGAAUUCCUCCAACACAUUUUCCCAUAGAGGUACACCAAUGAAGAUCUUGACUAUGGUCACUAUAAGGAAGAUACAUGACAAGUAACAAGACACUGGUGAUUCAAAUUACUAUGUCACUUCAAUAAAUUUAAUAAGCCACUGCUCAAAAUGAUGGGAUAGAUUCUUGUUCUAUCACAGUAAAUGAAAAUGUAAAAUUAUGUCUAUCCUUAGUUGCCUAUUAUGAAAAUUGCAGACCAGCCUGGGGAUGAAGAAUUGAUGCAGCCAUUAAGUGUUCUUACUCCUCUGUGUUGGAGAACAAGUUUGGUGCCCAUCAUCCACAGUGGAAGGCUCACAACUGUCUGUAGCCCCAACUCCAGAAAAAUCUUGACUUUUUCUGGACUCUGAGGUUACAAGCACUCACAGGUGCACACAUUAAAAAGGUUGCUUCAGAGAUUUUCCAACAUUUUUAUCCUCAUCAUGCCUCUGCUCCAGAUGUUUACAGAGGGAAAAUACUCUAAACACACCCAAGACCAAAUCACUAAAGUGUCAGAGGGCAACAGCUACUAUCGCUUCUGUGCUGUGAUCGCACAGGUUUCCAAAAAAUGAGAUUACUUUUCCAGCCAGCCUGUGGACUUGAUCCACUAUACGUAAGUCCUGGUGCUGUGUAACUCUAAUACGAAAAUUACAAGUGGUUGACACAAACUACAAGACAUUAUCCUAUUUUCAUAAAAAGAAAAAAAGAAGAUUCAAAGUACUAAGAGAGAGCUGAACUCACAAACAAGAUAACCUUGAUCAAGUGUUUAAAUAAGCCAAAACUUACCACACAGGCAAUUUUGAAACCUUUCUUGAACCUUACUUUUACUUACUGUAACUUGUUAUAAAUGCAAGUCCUCCCUCCUUUUUUUCACUAUACUUACUUGGGUUCUGAUUUAGGUUCCAAAUUAUUUAUUCAGCCAUAAGCUCCCCCUUUCCUAAUCAUUUCAAAAUAAAGAAUGUGUUUAACUUCGUUAUUUCCUUCCUGACUUCAAAGACUAUAUUAUUUUUGAAGCAUGCUCAAUGGGAUUUUCAAAUAUAUCAUGGAGAAUAAUCAACGACAAUGACACCAUGUAGGGCAGUCUCAUAAGUGAGAGCACCGUACACAGAAAAUGACCACCUGCUUCUUGUCACUUAACUGUUUGUAAACAGGAAUUCCUUGAGAGCUUGCAAAUUCUGCCUACGUUGAGUAACACUGCGUGCAGUUCUGGAACAUCAUACACGAUUUCCAGGACAGAGUAGAGCAAAUCAUUACAUCUUCAGAGGCACGGUAAUGCCUACCAAUGGAACUACCCAAAGGAAAGCAAAAAGAUAUAACAAGUUUGAGAGGCAUAAAGGGGUAAUGAGAAGAGCUUAGGCUGUGUGCUUUUGCAAUCUAUAGUGGCAGAACAAGGACCAAACAUAGACUUAGGUAGCGGCAGCUUCAAGUAGGUAUGGGAAAAUACCUUUAGUUUGCUAUCAAUAGUGGAUGACGCUCUGAAGGAAAUAUGCCCUGCCAUCAGAGCAAGGCACACCAAGGCUGCCACGAGCACGUCCCCAAGUGGGAAGCAUAUAACUAUUCUUAGGUCUAGAAACUUGAAGGAGUGUUCUAUGGGUUUUGCUUUUGCUAGGAAAUAGAGAUUAAAUAUCUGUUAUUAAAACUGUACAUAAACAUUUUAGUGUUUUGUCUCUCUUUUGUCAAGUAUCAGUACAUUGAAGAAUAACUGUAUACAUUUAAACAAAACCACCUUAAUAACCUCCAAUCAAUAUUUAUUCCUACGUAAUAGCUGAAUACUGCUUCUACACCUUGCCUUUGUCAUAGCUAAGGUCACUCCUGCUACGCUGGUACAACAUGAUCAAGAGAAACAAAGGGAGGAAGGGCUUUAUGUGCCUCACACUUCCAUCACUGUUCAUCAGAGCAGAAAGUUGGGCCUAGAACUCAACAGGACAGAAACCCUGAAGCAGGAGCUAAGGGGAGGGCAUGGAGGAAUGCUGCCUAUUGGUUUGCGUGGCCUGCUUUCAUAUAGAACCGAGGACCACAAGCCCAAGGAUAGCAUCACUCACAAUCAAUCAUUAUAUAAGAAAAUGGCCUUCUACAGCUAGAACAAACGGAGGCAUUUUCUCAGUCGAGGUUCCUCCUCUCAGAGGACACGCGCACAUAUCAAGCUGACGUGAAACCAGCCAGCCCAGCCAUGCGCUAUGCUCAGGAUACUCAGUGGUAGGCACUGGGUGUCAGCUUCCUUGGCCACAGCCACGUAGAAGAACUAAUACUAAAGUUGUGUCAUUUCAAACUAUCUGCAUUCUGUGGUGUCCUGUUGCUCUGUUAUUCCUUUUCUCCAGAUCUACAACUGGAGAGUAGAGAGAGGUCACAAGCAACAAUAUCUGAGAAACAACUGCUGAGAUCUGAAGUCUCAGGUUUUGGUUUUCACUGUUUUUUCCAGGGGCAGGUACUUAUAGCUUUAAGUAAUAACCAAAAGCGUGGCAGAAAUUGCAAACCUUCUAGACCAGCCUGCCUAUAUGUAGCUUUGUAUAAAGAAACUACUUAAUCCUUUCCUUGAUGCCCAUCCCAAAGUAUAAUAUAUUAUCAUAUUAGAAAUGACAGAAAGUAGCAAGUCUUGAUAACAGCUUUGAUUUUGCUGUUGAUAUCUGGCUAUGGUGUAAGGAUACAAUACUCCAGGACCUUGCACAUACAUGAUGGUCAAAUAUUCUCCACCUGAGUGGUAGGAGCUCAGCCACAAAUACAUGUUCCAGCUCUCAUACGAAUUCUGCCUACACAGGCAGAGUAGACAUGGACACCCUGCAACACAACACUCUAUAUUAUUAAGAGUUUAUAUCAAGCCACCACAAGCUUGGGCAAUCCUCUCCCAUUGACAAUAGACAAGGAGGCUCAGUUAGAAGAAUGGGAUCCACACUCAGGUAGGCAAUAGAUUCAGGGACAGUUGUUGGUGACCCUAUGUGAAGACCAAGUGGUACAUCUGCUAGAUAUGUGCAGGUGACCUAGAUCCACCCAGUGUGCAAGCUGUUUGGUUGGUGGUUCAAUCCACCCAGCAUAGGUCCAAGUUCAUUGACUCACAUGAUGGGAUACUGGAAAGAGACAAGGGGAUAUUAGGAUGUAAAGUAAAUAAAUAAUUUUUUUAAACAAGAGUUUAUAGACUAUAGUCUGUCAGUAAAAGUGAAAUAUGGAAUCGAUCAUUGUGUAGUGUUUUCUGCGUUAAUGGGGUUAUCAAGGAAAAAUGUCACAGUGGCAAUACUGGUGAUAAUCAAGUAUUUCAAGUUGAAGAUGAAUACCCAGAGCCAGGCAAUGACCAUCCGAAUGGGCAAGGGUGGAGAGAGGCAGGGACAUCUGUUUCGAUGUUACAGACAACAUCCUUUUAUCUGACAUUACACGGAAUAACCGUGUUGAAUAACUGUACACUUUAGGUUGUUGAAAGUUUCUAUCCCUUCCUUUAUUUUUUAGCUAGAAACGGCCCAUUCACUCUUCCCAAACUGGACUUAUGUUGGAUGCGGUGUUAGCAAAUUUCACUUGAACAUUGGGAAUGGAUGGCCUAGUAAAGUCAGAGAGUUCUGGCUUCAAUCCUUCAGUGCAGGGGUACCGAGGAAAAGGAACAAACCUCAGGGGUAUAAGACUCUCAAAGGCCUCACUAAAGGUCUAUGACUUGAGGCAGUACAGUACUGAGACAAGAGAACGGCCUAUUUUUAGUAUGUGAGACUGUUUGUGAGAACCACCAUGCCACUGAGCCUUGAUUUCUGUUCCUACUACACCUCGUUCAGCGAUAACUAAAAGACUUUCCCAUGAUCCUCUAUGACAAAUGGGAGCAGCUCAGGACGUGAAAGGUGAAGUAAACCUCUAACCUUCAGAGACCCAGAGAACGAGAAAGAUGCAUGCGAACAGGAAGGAAAAGGCACUGCCAGGGCCAUGGUGAACACUCGGGUCAGCCCUGAGAAACAGAAAGAUGAGGAAGUCCCCAUUCUCGGCCUCUAUUGCAAACCGCCAGCCUCUCUCACUUCCCUUGCCCACAGAGACAACUUUUGCCAGUCAAGGAAGAAGUAGUUUCAUAAACAAUGAUCAGAAGAAGAGAUGAGGGUGGGGUAGGAGGGCAAAAUGAACAUGGCAACUGACGUUUCACUGAAAGGGCAAUGCCCAGCGCUCAAAGGACACGGGUUUGUCCCUUCGAUGUCCCUAGACUGCUUUAUAAAACAGUAAAGACAGAAACUGUGAGCUAGGCAGAUUUACUAGACUCUUUGACCCAGGACACAAAAGGUUUAAGACGAUCCAGAGAAGUGAACUUGACCUGACCAGUAAACAUUUCAAAUAUGACAGCUGCCUGGAGAGCCACAUAAGAAAGAUGUGCUGAGGAGUAAGGCUGGCUUCCUAUACUUAUUAACUGCCAUGCUGCCGCGGGAACCACUGUGUAACACAGUAGCAUAUGGGGAACAUUAAGCAGUGUGUUUUCCAAAGCCUCUCUGUCCAAGUGGGUGAGGCAAUGGCCUCCUUGAAUCAAAACCUAUUGCUCCUUAAGGCUUGCAUUGCUGCCUUGAUUAAACCCAGCAGCGGGCUCCAGUUGAGGGGACAAUUCUUCUCUUCUGAGGGGAGGUAGAACAGAGUAAUUGCCAGAUGUUUGCAAUUUUAGCUAUAAAAAGAUGGCUGCUUUCCAUUCCUGAGUAUGUUGGAUCUUUUUUUUUUUUCUCUUUCUACCCAAGCUAUUGUGGUUCACUUAAAUAGGCCACUGUGCUGAUGAAUCAUCACUCAAAACUACAAUAAUGGAAGCAGAAAAAUAUGGCAUUUUAAAUUCCCAUGUAAGAGGAAUAAAUUAAAAUGUACAGGUACUGGUUAUGUGCUAAGCAACAGGAAAGCAUGCUAUUGCUUAAGAUGCUCGUUUGAGUCAGAAGAGCUGUGCGUGGGUCUCCCCUUGACUUCUUCUGACCAUCAGUGGGUAGGCACCAAUGCCUUACCAGCAAACCUCGGGCUGUCUACCUGCAAAGUGGAGGUAAGAAUCCCUUCCUGGCCUAAUUCUCAGCAGGAAGUCUCUGUGGAGAUCCAUUCCUAUCCUAUCUUAUAAGCCAGACAGAGUCCACGGGAGAUGUGCAAUUCUUUCUUAAGUAAAAAAAGCAAGAAAAAUAUGGAUGUGUUUCAAAGCCAUAUAUUAUAAGUAUACAUACAUGUAUUCCGGGUGGUUUCUAAUUAUGAAACUCCAUGACUAGCACCAAAUACCAAGUCCUCUUGUCAUAUACUGUGCAUGAAAUAUGGGAGAUGAGGAGAAGGAAAUGGAAACCUGGUUAUUAUUUAAGCAACACUAACAUAACUCAUUUGGAAGUAGUGACUACUUGGGAAGGGCAUGCCAUCUAAGUACUUGAGGAUCUGGGGACACGUGUGGACCAAGUGGAGAUUAGAGACUGAAUCUCCUAGGAAUUGAGAACAUAUCACAGCAGACACAUAUCCCUGCCAUAACUCAUAGAGAAACAAAACCCAAACCAAUUUGAAAGUCCCAGGUAUGCAGCACAGGCAAAAGAGUACUCCAGAAGAUUCGCCUUAAAACUGCCAGGAGGAGGCCUAUUGUGCCAGCUGUGAUUGUAAACAUACAGAAGAGUGUAAUGGACUAAGAGCCCCAGAGGAACACUCAUGUUUUAAUUUUAAUAAAGGCGAAGACGCUCAUAGCACCUUUCACUGACUGCCAUUCCAUACCAGAUGUGGUGCCGACUCAUGCUCCACUUAAGGCUCCUAACUGUCUAAGAUGCUUACAUCUCCACUCCACAGUCACAGCAAAUUGCAUACUCAGCCUAGCAGAGCAAUUCCCAGAGAAAUUAAAGCAAAUCCGGAGCUCUCAACUCUCUGACUGGAGUCCACACAGCAAACUAGACCCUUCCCACAUCUGAUUUCUCUGUCAGUCUUUCGGUCAUCUGUACCCAAGGAAUCUCAUCACUCUGAUUUCUCUGAAUGAAGUAAUUUUCUAAAUUGGGGCUUUAUAACUAAUUUGUUAUAUCCUUAGUAAAAUGGUCAUUUUGAUAAAUCAACUUUCUCAUAAAAAUGUAAAGGAUUUAUCAAGGUUUGGGAAUGGCUUUACUUAUAGUCAUUUAACAUUGUUAAUUAACGAUGGCUUCACAGGUGGGGUGACAUGGGCAUGACUUCUAUCCCAGAACUUGGGACACAGAGGCAAGUAAACAUCUGUAAGCUUAAAAUCAGCCUGGUCUACAUACAGAAUUCCAGGCCAGACAGGAAUAGAUUGUGAGAUCCAGUAUCAAAGAGAAUGGAAUGUUUGUUUUUUUUUUUAAAAAAUGAAAUAGAUCUGAACUAGAGUCGAUGACAGAAUGGUAUUAAUAUGAUUUCCAGAUAUGAGGAAGUCAGAUCUCCUUAACAGAUCCUAUAUUAGGUGACACUUUCAGGAACAAGUCAUACAAACUGCAGAUUUCUUGUACAGGCAGUAAUUUUAAAAGAGGAAGCGCUUCAUAAAACUCAAAUCAUUACCAUAAAAAUUAACAGGUCAAUAUGAAAUAGUGAAAGGUUAAAAUGUCAUGUUGCUUUCAUUCUAGUGUCAUUACAAGCUUCCAGUGUCACCUGAGAAGUUUAAGCAAGACGACACCACUCACUUCAAUUAGAGGACACUGCAAGUGCUAAGUCCCAAGGUUGUCAGUAAUGAUAUCUGCUGGCUAGUAAGUAAAGAUUACUCCGGCAGGUGGACGCCACUACACCUCAUUCACAUCCAUGACCAGAUGUCUGAUGUCAUAUAUACAGACGUCAUGCUGUCAAAUUUCAAGUAAACCUCAGUAAUAAUUGGUGUCAGAAGUAACAUUGAAAAAUGUUGUUUGUUUUAGUAAACUACAGAGCAAGAUCAUUAGUGUAGAAUUUGGUUCAAGAUAAGGACAUCAUCUUAGAAGGAGAGACAAAGAUUCAAAGUUUUACCCGGGGUGACUGUGACCUUUGUGUGUUCAUUCUCUCUGCUGUCUACAAGUGACUGCAUCCUUUCCAGCAGAGGGAUAAAGCUACAACCCAAGUACAAACAGACUUCACAUGCAGGAAGGACUAUACAUCCAAUAAGAAGAGAUUUAUACUCUGUAGACAUUAUUCAAGAGACCAAUGGUCAAAGUCAGCAGAUAGGACUGGGAAAAAGGACUGACAGAAUACUUGCUAGGAUGUAUGAUUAUUAUAUACUGGCUUAUGUAAAUUAAUAAUAUGAGGAAAUACUAAUAAUGGAUUUAGCAGCAUGUGGCUUCUGCAUUAUUAGUGUCCCCAUGGGCCUACUAAGUGUCAGGUUACUCAUUUGUCACUAGAGACAAUGACAAUGUCACUGUAAAGACAAUAAUACGGUUCAAGGGCCCUGGGAAAAUUCAAUCAGGAGAGUGAGUCAAUGACAUAAAACUGCAUCUGUGUAAACAACCUUUAAACCCGAAGCAAAGAUUUAGUAGCAAAAGGCUUCACUUCGUUCCUCAGAAUCAUCACCAUGUGUAUAGAUAACUAACACAGCAAGGAAGAUCAAAACGUUGAAGUUGAUCCUGCCUUGCCUUCUAGAGGGUAUGUGUAAAAAGGCUAAAGGCUCCCUUCAGUCUCAUGAACAUCAGCUGAGAAUGGCUCCCUUUUAGCAUCCCUACACACAGAAACAUUUCAGCAUAAGG
rnacentral:sRNA from 1 species